GAAGCUGAGAUGAAUCAAAUACAAGCAAUAUCACAGGAGAAGAAAGAAGCUGACAUUAAAAAACUCCGGAAGAGCCUUAACUUUAAAGCAACACCAAUGCCUUCAUUUUAUCGCACGAAUUCGCCUUCACAAUCACAGGGCUGUGUCAAGUAACACCAGAAGUAGCAAAGCACAGAAUCAACCAAAAUGUUCAGGGAGUGAAGCAGCUGUAUCAUUACCUUCAAAAUCGAAGACCAGAAGUGAUCAAUCUUCUUGUGAAUAUGUAACAUCAACCGAACGAUAUAGUAUUUUGG